GUAGGCUAUGGUGACAUGGCUCCGAAAACAUAUGUCGGUAUGUUUGUCGGCGCCCUGUGCGCGUUGGCUGGUGUAAGUUGUUUGAAUUUAAUGAAAAUUAAAUAAUGAUGGUGAUUAUCAAUUAUAAUUUCUGAAUUCUUUACAAAGGUGUUGACGAUAGCUCUGCCGGUGCCGGUCAUCGUCUCUAAC
rfam:Danaus plexippus plexippus isolate F-2 unplaced genomic scaffold DPSCF300240, whole genome shotgun sequence.